AGCGAACGUUUGCGGCGGGCCUAACACAUGCAAGUCGAACGCACUAGCAAUAGUGAGUGGCGCACGGGUGCGUAACACGUGGGUAAUCAACCCUUCAGCUUGGGAUAACGACUUGAAAGGGUCGCUAAUACCGGAUACGGCGAGAGAGGCUUCGGCAUUUCUCGAGAAAGCCUCGCAAGGGGCACUGAAGGACGAGCCUGCGGCCCAUCAGCUAGUUGGUGAGGUAAGAGCUCACCAAGGCGAAGACGGGUAGCUGGUCUGAGAGGAUGAUCAGCCACACUGGAACUGAGACACGGUCCAGACUCCUACGGGAGGCAGCAGUGGGGAAUAUUGCGCAAUGGGCGAAAGCCUGACGCAGCCACGCCGCGUGAGCGAUGAAGGCCUUCGGGUCGUAAAGCUCUGUGGGGAGAGGACGAAGAAAGCCCGUGAAGAGCGGGCCUUGACGGUAUCUCCUUAGCAAGCACCGGCUAACUCCGUGCCAG
rnacentral:rRNA from 1 species